ACUGUAGCUCAGGGGUAAGAGCAUCUGCUUUGCAUGCAGAAGGUCCCGGGUUCAAGUCCCGGCAUCUCUA